UACAGGCUUAACACAUGCAAGUCGAGGGGCAUCAGGAAGAAAGCUUGCUUUCUUUGCUGGCGACCGGCGCACGGGUGAGUAACACGUAUCCAACCUGCCCUUUACUCGGGGAUAGCCUUUCGAAAGAAAGAUUAAUACCCGAUAGCAUAAUGAUUCCGCAUGGUUUCAUUAUUAAAGGAUUCCGGUAAAGGAUGGGGAUGCGUUCCAUUAGGUUGUUGGUGAGGUAACGGCCCACCAAGCCUUCGAUGGAUAGGGGUUCUGAGAGGAAGGUCCCCCACAUUGGAACUGAGACACGGCCCAAACUCCUACGGGAGGCAGCAGUGAGGAAUAUUGGUCAAUGGGCGCUAGCCUGAACCAGCCAAGUAGCGUGAAGGAUGAAGGCUCUAUGGGUCGUAAACUUCUUUUAUAUAAGAAUAAAGUGCAGUAUGUAUACUGUUUUGUAUGUAUUAUAUGAAUAAGGAUCGGCUAACUCCGUGCCAGCAGCCGCGGUAAUACGGAGGAUCCGAGCGUUAUCCGGAUUUAUUGGGUUUAAAGGGAGCGUAGGUGGACUGGUAAGUCAGUUGUGAAAGUUUGCGGCUCAACCGUAAAAUUGCAGUUGAUACUGUCAGUCUUGAGUACAGUAGAGGUGGGCGGAAUUCGUGGUGUAGCGGUGAAAUGCUUAGAUAUCACGAAGAACUCCGAUUGCGAAGGCAGCUCACUGGACUGCAACUGACACUGAUGCUCGAAAGUGUGGGUAUCAAACAGGAUUAGAUACCCUGGUAGUCCACACAGUAAACGAUGAAUACUCGCUGUUUGCGAUAUACAGUAAGCGGCCAAGCGAAAGCAUUAAGUAUUCCACCUGGGGAGUACGCCGGCAACGGUGAAACUCAAAGGAAUUGACGGGGGCCCGCACAAGCGGAGGAACAUGUGGUUUAAUUCGAUGAUACGCGAGGAACCUUACCCGGGCUUAAAUUGCAGUGGAAUGAUGUGGAAACAUGUCAGUGAGCAAUCACCGCUGUGAAGGUGCUGCAUGGUUGUCGUCAGCUCGUGCCGUGAGGUGUCGGCUUAAGUGCCAUAACGAGCGCAACCCUUAUCUUUAGUUACUAACAGGUUAUGCUGAGGACUCUGGAGAGACUGCCGUCGUAAGAUGUGAGGAAGGUGGGGAUGACGUCAAAUCAGCACGGCCCUUACGUCCGGGGCUACACACGUGUUACAAUGGGGGGUACAGAAGGCAGCUAGCGGGUGACCGUAUGCUAAUCCCAAAAGCCUCUCUCAGUUCGGAUCGAAGUCUGCAACCCGACUUCGUGAAGCUGGAUUCGCUAGUAAUCGCGCAUCAGCCACGGCGCGGUGAAUACGUUCCCGGGCCUUGUACACACCGCCCGUCAAGCCAUGGGAGCCGGGGGUACCUGAAGUACGUAACCGCAAGGAUCGUCCUAGGGUAAAACUGGUGACUGGGGCUAAGUCAU
rnacentral:rRNA from 1 species